rnacentral:rRNA from 1 species
AUGGAGGUGGAGGCUCACCAUUACAGUCCUAUAAUGGAUGCUAUCCUCAUGGAAAUCAGGAUCCGACCAAUCUUUGGGCAAAGAGUAGACGAGAGCGCCGUGGAGGGCAACAUCGAGAAGCUAAAGAAGGUGCUGGAGGUGUAUGAGUCGAGGCAGUCGAGCUCCAGGUACCUGGCUGGUGAUUUCAUCAGCCUCGCGGACCUCAACCAUGUGUCCACCAUUUUGUGCCUAGGGAUCACUCCGUACAGGUCAGUUCUCGACGCGUACCCACGUGUAAGGGCAUGGUGGGAUUGCCUGAGGGCCAGGCCGGCGGUGAGGAGGGUGUCUGACCUAAUGAAUACGUCCGUGAAGAAUGAUCUGAAAUGA